GCGGUAGGAGCUGCAUUAUCAUGCAGUCGAACGGCAGCACGGGUGCUUGCACCUGGUGGCGAGUGGCGAACGGGUGAGUAAUACAUCGGAACAUGUCCUGUAGUGGGGGAUAGCCCGGCGAAAGCCGGAUUAAUACCGCAUACGAUCUAUGGAUGAAAGCGGGGGACCUUCGGGCCUCGCGCUAUAGGGUUGGCCGAUGGCUGAUUAGCUAGUUGGUGGGGUAAAGGCCUACCAAGGCGACGAUCAGUAGCUGGUCUGAGAGGACGACCAGCCACACUGGGACUGAGACACGGCCCAGACUCCUACGGGAGGCAGCAGUGGGGAAUUUUGGACAAUGGGCGAAAGCCUGAUCCAGCAAUGCCGCGUGUGUGAAGAAGGCCUUCGGGUUGUAAAGCACUUUUGUCCGGAAAGAAAUCCUUGGCUCUAAUACAGUCGGGGGAUGACGGUACCGGAAGAAUAAGCACCGGCUAACUACGUGCCAGCAGCCGCGGUAAUACGUAGGGUGCAAGCGUUAAUCGGAAUUACUGGGCGUAAAGCGUGCGCAGGCGGUUUGCUAAGACCGAUGUGAAAUCCCCGGGCUCAACCUGGGAACUGCAUUGGUGACUGGCAGGCUAGAGUAUGGCAGAGGGGGGUAGAAUUCCACGUGUAGCAGUGAAAUGCGUAGAGAUGUGGAGGAAUACCGAUGGCGAAGGCAGCCCCCUGGGCCAAUACUGACGCUCAUGCACGAAAGCGUGGGGAGCAAACAGGAUUAGAUACCCUGGUAGUCCACGCCCUAAACGAUGUCAACUAGUUGUUGGGGAUUCAUUUCCUUAGUAACGUAGCUACGCGUGAAGUUGACCGCCUGGGGAGUACGGUCGCAAGAUUAAAACUCAAAGGAAUUGACGGGGACCCGCACAAGCGGUGGAUGAUGUGGAUUAAUUCGAUGCAACGCGAAAAACCUUACCUACCCUUGACAUGGUCGGAAUCCUGAAGAGAUUCGGGAGUGCUCGAAAGAGAACCGGCGCACAGGUGCUGCAUGGCUGUCGUCAGCUCGUGUCGUGAGA
rnacentral:rRNA from 1 species